rnacentral:lncRNA from 1 species
AGGCUUGCUGUGCAAGUCCAGAGCUUCAGAACAGCUAUUGGCCUGCAGCCCCUGAGGUUCAGCAGGGACUCAGUAUGAUUUCUAAGUGUUUCCCAUAUUCUGGUCUUCCUGUUGCUCUUGGGAGCCUCUAACCAGAAGAAGAGUGGAAGGGGGAGUGAUCCAAAGAUGACUUCUAUCCCUAGUCACUCACCCCCACUGACUCAUUCAUCUCCUGCUGGGAUUCUAAAGCCAGGAUAAGUGGACUAGGAUACAGGGAGCUAAGGAAGGAAAGAUUCCAGGUGAGGAGGACUGCAGCAUUGGAAAACGUGGUAGAAUUUGGAUAAACUUUAUCUUCAGACAAAGGACUCCUAAGGACUUGUCAGAUGAUGUGAUUUAUGGACUGAGCCUCUCAGGGUGGCUAACAGACUUCAAGAGAAAGCAAACCUGUGAUUUAGUUAAGAUAUUGAGUCUGUGGAGUAAAUCAGACUGGCAAUAAAAGAGAGAAAAAAAAUGACGGACGUUGUUGGAUGGUGAGGAGGAGUUGCACUGUUGGACUUUAUUGUGAGGAUUCCAUUCAAACAUACUCCAGUGUGCCGGCAGUGAGUUUUGUGUCAAUUCUAUUAUCUUUCAUUGUGUAAUUGUG